GUAUUACCUUGCUGAUUUAAAGUUUUGUGAAGAGGCUUACUGGAAGUGAUCUCAAAUGUCUUCUGUGAUGAGGUCAGGAUGGAAUAGGAAUCUGUUUGCCUGAGGAUGCUGCAAAUAUGAAAUGGAGUCCUGCAUCCCUGAAAAUGAGACACAGCGGAAACUCUGUUGAUCUUUCUUUCUAAGAUCAUGCAUUAACAGCAUUCUGGCAGGACUAAGAAGCAGCUUCCAUGAUAUUGUGCACUGGAUUGGAGGGAGAUUCAUCGCUGUUUUCAACUGUCCCUGCUUAUUUUGAAGAUGGCACUGCGCUUCCAAAACAGCAGGGAGCAAGGGAAGAAUUUUCAGCUGCUUGUAAUCCUUUGCAAGUAACAGAAAGCCUUCUGUGCCUGUAAAAUCUGUGCCACACCAUUCAGGGAGGACAUCUGAGAUAAUCCCUGCUGGGCGAAUCGCUUGGUGUGACUAGGUGAAAACAAGAGGGAAAGUUACAAAACUCAGGUCUUGAUGCUUUGCUCCUGAGAAAUAACAAGAGUUUGAUUAAUAACAAUAAAGAACAAAAAAAACCUACUACAUUUUUGACCAGGAGGUUAUAUAGGACCCAGAGGCUGCAAGAUUUUACAUGUCCCAAAGGAGGGGUGGAGGAGGAACCAGAGCUCAGUACAGUUUUACUAGGCUGCAGUCAGCAUGCGUGCAGCACACUGCUGUAAAUCCAUGGCCAUGAUUUAACGUGAAGAUUAGAGCUUGCUAGGAAUU